rnacentral:lncRNA from 13 species
CCUUGCUGACCAAAUGUUUCCUGAAACAUCAGGAGGCUGUACCCUGCAGCUGAGUUUACAUGGAAGUGUGGCUGCUGCGUCAGAAGCUAGCAAAUGUUGCCCGCCUGGCUACCAGUGGUGAGGGCAUGCUUAACCAGGUGUUUUCCAGGACAGUAGGAAGCUGCACUCUCCACAGAGGCAAGACUGCUAGGCUGGUAGCUUUAGCACGCAUUGCCUGCCUGUCUGCCAGUGGCAGCGAUGGGUGAGGUGUUGGUUGGGUCCGAAGAGGAAACAACGUAAAAGGGCUUACAGGACUUUUGAGAGGUGGGCCUGAAAUCGGUACACUAUCAUUUUUGCCACAUUUAAGUGGUCCAAGGAGUCACAAGUUCAGUAAAGAAACAUGGGAAAAAGAUAGGAAUGCCUCCUGAAUGGAAAAGCUUACAAGAUUUCAUUGCAAAAGAUCAUGGCAAAGAUUAUUGUUGCUCUUUUAAAACAAUCACCAGUCACAUCUACUGCAGUCUGUAAAGGAUGUUUGAUGAUCUUCCUUUAUUUUUGAGUUUUUACUUUUAAUUAUAUAUCAAUGAUUAAAUCAGGCACCUCACAAAUGUUGCCUGAGAGCAAAUUAAAUCAUAAUUAUCAAUUACUAAAAUAUGUGUCAUAUUAAGGAUAAAUUGUUCAUGCUAAUAGGUAAGAUUAAAACUCUGUGGUCACCCUGUUAAAGUGAAAAUAUCACAUUUACAUUAAUUUUAAGUCUCUGAUACUGCUAAUCAUGGAAAGCUGGCUAAUAAUAAUUCUGUAGCUGAGUGCUCAACCAACAUGGAAUGUCCAUUCUGCCAAAAUAUAAUGUGUCUAUAUUUGGAAUUUGCCCACCAUUACUUCCUUUUCUGAGAGCCAAAUUCCUUGACUUUUUCAAUAAGAGCAAAGUAAAAUAUAAUGUCAUUGCAUUAGCAUGAACAUAUUUUGAAUAUCUUUUUAAGAAAACAAAAAAGAGAACAUGGAGGUUGGCAGGGUUUUAAGGGGUGUGGUACUUCAUGUUGUACUUCAUAUUGGCAAUGAAGUAAUGCUUGUUUUCCCCACAAUCAAAUUCCUCUUCCUGAUACUCUUAAAUCCAGAGUUCCUGGAUCUCACUCCUGAAAUACUUAAGAGAAGCAAGGUCCCUGAGAAGGAAUGCCAUAGUGGUUGUUACAGAGAGAAAAAGAAGGCCCAACACUACAUGGAAGCUGCCAAGGCUUGGAGCUUUGAUCCUCUGAAACAGUGGCCUGAACUGCACCUUGGCCACUUUUAG